rnacentral:rRNA from 1 species
AGUGAAGGCUGGCGGUAGGCCUAACACAUGCAAGUCGAGCGGCAGCAUAGUAAGAGCUUGCUCUUACGGGUGGCGAGUGGCGGACGGGUGAGGAAUACAUCGGAAUCUACUUUUUCGUGGGGGAUAACGUAGGGAAACUUACGCUAAUACCGCAUACGACCUACGGGUGAAAGCAGGGGAUCUUCGGACCUUGCGCGAUUGAAUGAGCCGAUGUCGGAUUAGCUAGUUGGCGGGGUAAAGGCCCACCAAGGCGACGAUCCGUAGCUGGUCUGAGAGGAUGAUCAGCCACACUGGAACUGAGACACGGUCCAGACUCCUACGGGAGGCAGCAGUGGGGAAUAUUGGACAAUGGGCGCAAGCCUGAUCCAGCCAUACCGCGUGGGUGAAGAAGGCCUUCGGGUUGUAAAGCCCUUUUGUUGGGAAAGAAAAGCAGCAGGUUAAUACCCCGCUGUUCUGACGGUACCCAAAGAAUAAGCACCGGCUAACUUCGUG